rnacentral:rRNA from 1 species
UACGGGAGGCAGCAGUGGGGAAUUUUGGACAAUGGGGGCAACCCUGAUCCAGCCAUGCCGCGUGAGUGAAGAAGGCCUUCGGGUUGUAAAGCUCUUUCGGCCGGAACGAAAUCGCAUGGGCCAAUACCCUGUGUGGAUGACGGUACCGGAAGAAGAAGCACCGGCUAACUACGUGCCAGCAGCCGCGGUAAUACGUAGGGUGCGAGCGUUAAUCGGAAUUACUGGGCGUAAAGCGCGCGCAGGCGGCUCUUUAAGUCAGAUGUGAAAGCCCCGGGCUUAACCUGGGAACUGCGUUUGAAACUGGAGAGCUGGAGUGUGGCAGAGGGAGGUGGAAUUCCACGUGUAGCAGUGAAAUGCGUAGAGAUGUGGAGGAACACCGAUGGCGAAGGCAGCCUCCUGGGCCAACACUGACGCUCAUGCACGAAAGCGUGGGGAGCAAACAGGAUUAGAUACCCUGGUAGUCCACGCCCUAAACGAUGUCAACUAGUUGUUGGGAAGGGAAACUUUCUUAGUAACGAAGCUAACGCGUGAAGUUGACCGCCUGGGGAGUACGGCCGCAAGGUUAAAACUCAAAGGAAUUGACGGGGA